rnacentral:tRNA from 1 species
GGCACUUUGGCGGAGUGGUUAACGCGCUGGCCUGCUAUACCUGAAAGGGCUUAGCUGAUAGCCAGUUCCUUCGGGAGCGUGUGUUCGAAUCACACAGGUGUCG